rnacentral:rRNA from 1 species
AUGAAAGCAAUUGGUUCCUUGCAUCCUCCAUUUGACAGAUCUACGCUUCAUUGUACAUCCUGUUCUCUUCAACUCAACCCUCCACUGGUGUUUAUCGGGAGGCUGCAAACAUAUGUGAAAAUCGUUUGCUGGAGUAGUUUUUCUCAUAAGGCGCAGGCCGAUCCUGUAGCGUCGGGUCAUUAUGAUGCAUGCAACGAUGUGGUGUCCAAAGGUCCAGCUGGGCGCAAGUGCCUCUGUGUGUGUGCCAACAUCCUACUUUCGUCUCAUAAAAUUAGUUUAUUUGUUGUGUCACAACAAGAUUUUUUUUUGCUAGAUACAAACCACUGGUAG